rnacentral:sRNA from 12 species
GUCCCGCUGUACCGAAAAGUCUCCGUAGGGUGGCCUGCCAGCCGAGCGGCUGGAUAGGAGGCGGGACGCAC